GUGGGGAAUCUUGCGCAAUGGGCGAAAGCCUGACGCAGCCAUGCCGCGUGAAUGAUGAAGGUCUUAGGAUUGUAAAAUUCUUUCACCGGGGACGAUAAUGACGGUACCCGGAGAAGAAGCUCCGGCUAACUUCGUGCCAGCAGCCGCGGUAAUACGAAGGGGGCUAGCGUUGCUCGGAAUUACUGGGCGUAAAGGGCGCGUAGGCGGACAGCUUAGUCAGAGGUGAAAGCCCAGGGCUCAACCUUGGAAUUGCCUUUGAUACUGGCUGUCUUGAGUUUGGGAGAGGUGAGUGGAACUCCGAGUGUAGAGGUGAAAUUCGUAGAUAUUCGGAGGAACACCAGUGGCGAAGGCGGCUCACUGGCUCGAUACUGACGCUGAGGUGCGAAAGCGUGGGGAGCAAACAGGAUUAGAAACCCCGGUAGUCC
rnacentral:rRNA from 1 species